rnacentral:lncRNA from 1 species
GCUUUUCUUCAGAAGAGCCACGUCGUGGGCUGUGUCGAUCAGAUUGUCCAUGAACACCACGUAGCUUGUGAAUUUGUUUCCGUAGUCUUUGCAUGUUUGCUCUAAGGCCAGGAAGUUACGGUACUCCGAUGAGGUAUUUUCUUGAAUGGUUACUGCCGGGAUCUCCAUGUUCCCGUCUUUGAAGGAGAUAUCUAAGAAACACUUAUUGGUCUCUUUCUUCUUGAAGUGAACCCCGGCUUCUUUCAGUUGCGUGGCUGUGGGGAUCGUUCUGGCCAUUCUUUGAAUAUCUUUUGCCGGAAUGUCGGAUCUGAAAUGGCUCCAACAAGACCACUUCCAGAUUACGACCACGUUAAAACAGACAACCAACGCAUAGAUCAGACCGUGCUUUAAACAGACGAAGAGACGGUCGGAGAGGUUUUUAGGUGGAGAUUCAUCCGACGUCUCUUCCUGGGAAUACUUCAGUUUGCUUACCAGGCAAAGAUGAGACAGAUGGAGAAGAUGAUGGAUUUCUCUUUCCUCCACUGGCAGCGCCUCCUUCGACAUCUUCCCUUUAUAGAGGUAAUGAAGUGCGAUGUCCAGAAUAGUGAGACCUCCGAGAUGGGUGGUAAGAUCCAGAAUUUUUUGAAGAACAAAAAACGGGAUUUGAUUCUCAAACAGUAAGAAAUCCCGGCGUAACGUCGGACCGGCUCUAAGCUGAAACGCCAAAGGAAAUUCUCCGACUCUUCCUUCGGCACGUUUAAGUAAAAACUCGACGAUAAAACAACCGUCAACAACCAACAUCUCUAUAAAAUCAUUGGAAUCUAUUUCGAAUGAUUCGUUGUACAUCCGACGAGCCUCCAGCUCCACCGCCUCCAUGGCAACAACAUACCUCCUCAACGUCUUCUCUUCAUUUCUAUCACAAAUGUGCCUGAGAUACAUGAGCUUGACUUCCUUCAUGGGUUUUAACGCCGGUUUUUCUCGGUGGUAAGGCCCGAUUGCGAUGAUGUUAGGCUCGUAGUCUCUAUCGUGUCCCGCUCGGAUCUCGUUGGGGAUCUUGCAGAUGAUGGGUUGACCGUUGAUCUUCAGUUUAUCAAGUCUUUCCGUCAUAGAACCUAAAACCCAACUAGCGGUUUCUGAUAACUCCUCCUCGGCGGCGUCGAUUGACUGGUCGUAUUCACAGCAACUCCUGACCAACGACACCAAGUCGUAUGCAGACACUCCAUUGUCACCUGUGUCUGCCAUAUUUUCCGGUCACUUUCCAAGUUUCUUUGUUUCUGCGCCAUUUUAUUGCAGCAACAAUAUAAUUGACCAAGUGGCAGGUGAUGAGGUGGAGGUGUGUAUAAAAAAAUAUGGUAUCAGGCUAUCACGCGGAAAAGUCACAUUUGAGUUGUUAUGAUUAAACAACUCAAAUGUGUAACACUUGAGGUGGAUAACUACUUCAGCUAGCGUGCCCAGUUCUCAGCAUUGCUCCGAGGCUAUCGGCUAAUGGACUACGCAGAAGGGAAGAUCGACAUCGUCGAAGGAUCAUCUGAAGAACAGCAAGACCAAAUCAUCUUGAGCUGGAUGCUGUCCGCGAUGUCUCCGGCGAUUCUACCUCAAGUAGCGACUCUGACCACCUCGCACGAGGUGUGGGAAUCUCUUCGGCAAACUCACUCGUCAGACUCAGAGACUCGACUUCUGCAUCUACGAAUGAAAUUACAGACCGUGAGAAAAGGAAACAUGACUAUGACGCAAUAUAUUAAACAUAUUACAAUCGCUAAAGAUAGAUUGGCGGCGGCCGGCGAGAAGCUCCGUGACUCACAGAUAAUACUCAUCGCACUCGGAGGACUAGGUGCGGAGUAUAAAACCUUCGUGACCUCCAUUUCAACACGAUUCGAUCACUCCAUGACAUUUAAUCAAUUCCAACAACUUCUAAUGGACCAAGAACUUCAAGAUGAACAAACUAAGUCUUGAAGCAAAUGCUGUAGCCAAAUUCAACAAGAACGAGGAUAGGAGCUACAACAAUAAAACUUCACCGUGUCAGAUAUGCUCUCGCAAAGGACAUGGUGCUCUGAAUUGCUAUAACAGAGUAAACUUCACAAAGUUUCCACCUACUCACAAAAAAAGUUAAUUUCUAUUGGAAUUGGUACUAGUGCUCCUUCAGCCAGUGCCGUCUCACUGUGGUAUCCGGAUUCCGGAGCGACUACACAUAUAACGGCUAAUGGUAAGCUACUUAAUUUUUCAGAAAAUUAUAAGGGGUCGGAAAAAAUUGUAGCAGCAAAUGGGGAGCCAAUGACUAUUACAGGUUCAGGUAAAAGCACACUGAUUUGCAAAGGAAAGGAGUUUCGGUUAGAGGAUAUACUAAUAGUUCCUCAAACUACUAAGAAUUUGCUUUCUAUUCACCAAUUGUGCACUGACAAUCCCGCCUCUGUCGAAUUUGAUAAACAGAGGGUAAGGAUUCGCGACAUCACAACUAAAGAAAUAAUAGCAGAAGGUAAGGAAGAGGCAGGACUCUAUCAACUACCGAUGAGGACUUCAGGCAGAAUAGAAGCACUGACGUGCGAAAAGAUUUCAGCCGAACGUUGGCAUGCCAGACUGGGACACCUGAAUAAACAGUCAAUGGAAAAAUUAAACAAAAUAAAUGUAAAAUCAUCGAAAUGUAAAAAUAUACCAAUGUGUGACUCGUGUUUGUCAAAUAAAUCAACUUCCUUACCGCACAAAACCAGCAGUACAAUCUACUCGGCUCCGCUAGAUCUAAUAUUCACGGAUAUUUGGGGUCCAGCCCUGGUCGUGUCGGCAGAAGGUUUUCGUUAUUACGUCAACUUCGUAGACACCGUCACCAAUUACAAUUGGGUGUUCCCGUUAAAAAGCAAAGCAGAGGUAGAAACGAUCUACCAACAAUUUCAAAAGUAUGCUGAAUGGCAAUGUGGAACUCAGAUCAAAGAGGUCCAGUAGGAUAAUGCUAUGGAAUUCAGAAAACUUGCAAAGAGUCUAGAAAAAUCAGGAGUUGGGUAUCGAUUUUCAGCCCCAUACAGUCACCAACAAAUGGGUUCGGUCGAAAGGCGGCACAGGCAUCUGAUAGAUACAGCUCUCACAAUGUUAAAACAUGUCAGUAUACCAGUCGUAUACUGGGACUAUGCAGUAUUAACGGAAGCAUACAUAUAUAACAGGAAUCCGUCAAAAAAUUUGAAUAAUACGUCGCCAUAUGAGGCUCUCUUCCAACGAACUCCGGAUUAUCGGAAAUUACGAGUAUUUGGGUCAAAAUGUUACCCAUGUCUUCGCAGUUACAGGGAAAACAAAUUGUUACAAAAAUCAAUUCCAUGUGUGUUUUUAGGAUAUCCACACAAUCAGGAUGCAUAUAUGUGUUACGAUCCCGUCGGCCGGAAGAUGUACAUCUCAAGAGAUGUGCGUUUCAACGAAGAAGACUUCACGCUAAAUAAACCAUUAUGCGAGGAGGAAAAAGCAAAAGUAUCUGUCUCAAAUUCACAAAUCAAGAAACGAACUACCUACUGCCCUAUUUUUCAAAACUAUCCAAUCGUCACCGGACAAAAUCAACCAACCGAACCAAGUUCGAAAGAGGUAUCGGGCAAUCGAUCAGUAGAAGAAUCAGUGAAUAAAAGGGGAGCGGAUCCAAGUGCAUAAAUUCAUUCUAACCCAAAUGAGGUCAACAAAACGUUGGGUGAUGUAGUGGGUCCAAAUACGUCAACCCACAACGAAUCUGAUCAAGGGCACACAAGCGCAACCGAUGAAGAGUCACUGCCGGGUUCCACGACAAGUUCCGGAUACCCAAAUACAUUCUCAUCGUCAACAGAGAAUACGUCAUCAGAAAUUCAAAUAAACAAUGCACAGGAAGAAAUUCUCGGAAAUCGGCCGGUCACAAGAGCAUCAAAAAGGAUAGUAAAGCCAAACCCUCGAUACGCGCUGUCGGUAGCAGCCAUCGGCAUACCACGAUCUCCAAAAACAGCUAUGCUAGAUGAAAACUGGAAAUUGGCAAUGGAGUCGGAGUACAAUGCUUUAAAGAAAAAUCAAACUUGGGUAUUGAUAGACAAGUCACCAGAGGACAAUGUUAUUAAUACAAAGUGGAUUUUUAAAAUCAAGCAGCGCGAAGAUGGUUCCAUCGAGCGAUACAAAGCUAGGUGGGUGGCCAACGGAAUGAGACAGAUCGAAGGAACAGACUACACACAUACGUUUAGCCCGGUGGUGAAGGCAACUUCAGUCCGACUAGUUCUCACAUUGGCAAUUAGCAGAGAUUGGUCACUCAAACAAAUUGACAUUUCAAACGCUUUUUUUCACGGGGAGAUUGAUGAACGCAUAGUGGUUACACAGCCAGCCGGUUUUGAAGAUCCGGAGCAUCCUACCCAAGUGUGCCUACUCAAGAAAGCACUCUACGGACUGAAACAGUCACCCCGGAUGUGGUACCGAAGACUACGAAAUUUCUUAACAGAUAUCGGAUUCAAUGAAAAUUUCGCGGACCCAUCACUGUUUAUAUGGGGUCAAAACAAUGAAACAAUAUUUCUAUUCGCAUACGUCGAUGAUAUAGUAAUAACGGGAUCAUCGAAAGAAAAAAUAGAAGAAGUCACAACAAAAUUAGCAAACGAAUUUGCACUAAGGGAAUUAAGGGAGUUAUCAUACUUUCUUGGAAUUAAGGUCCGACCAAGAAAACACUCUUCCUGUCCCAGCAACAAUACUUGGUGAAUCUAUUGGAAAGCUGCGACUUGACAAAUCUAAAACCGUCAAUUACUCCGAUGAUAGCCCAACAAGAUCUCUUCUCAGAAGAAGCUCCUAUUACUCAAUCUACGGAAUAUCGAAGAAUAAUUGGAUCACUUCAAUACCUCACGUUAACUCGGCCGGACAUCCAAUUUUCAGUAAACAAAUUUGCACAGUUUAUGGUGGCACCAAAACCACUACAUUGGGUUGUGUUGAAAAAGAUACUACGCUACCUAUCUGGAACCCAAACAUUUGGGAUAACACUGAAGGCAGUAACAAACUUCACCCUCACCGGCUAUUGUGACGCAGAUUGGGGGGACGACACGACCGAUCGAAGGAGCCAAACAGGAAUGUUGAUAUACCUAGGAGAAACUCUAGUAAACUGGUCAUCACGCAAACAGGUCACGGUGGCCAGAUCAAGCACCGAAGCCGAAUACAGAGCAAUAGCAAACACAGUUGAAGAAUUGCAGGCAACAAAAUCGUUACUUACGGAACUUGGGGUAGCAAUUCAAACACCAAUGAAACUACUAAGUGGUAAUCAGGGGGCAACAUUUGUGGCAAACAAUCCUAUAUGUCAUACAAAGCUCAGGCACGUAGCAAUGGAUUUACAUUUCGUACGGGAGAAGACGGACGCAGGAAAGAUAGAAGUCAAACACGUUUCUGGAAAGCUACAACGAGCUGACAUCCUAACAAAAGCACUAAAGCCAGAUGUAUAUCAAAGAUUACGAGUCAACCUCGUCGGAGAGUCCCCGUCGGUUGAGGGGGGCGUGUUAAAGUAAUAAUCGAUUAGUUAUUUAGGAAAGUAGUUAGCAAUAACAGAGUGUAAUUAGUAUAAAUAAACACCAAAAUCAAAGGUAAAUAACACAAUCAAUUUCACCCAUCUUUGCGUCGUCACUGUUCGUCUUCUUCCUCCCUCCGAUCAUCGUCGAUCAAUCUUCCGAUAGAUUCAAUUAUUGGCAUUAUAUAAAAAAGAUUUUGAAGAGGAUCGAAGAAGGAAGAGUAGUAAGAAGAGACGAUACACAGAUAUCGGAAUGGAAGUUUCGACGCAAAAGAGUACACAGAUCUCUAGGAUCGGAAAUUAUAUAAUCAAUUAAUAGAAUAUGCAGUUUGCAGAGUGGUGAGGAUAAUAAGUACGAUAGCACCCAUAAGUGAAAUAAUGGCCCACGGACUGCUCAGGUAAUCAUGCAUCAGGGUAGCCCGCCACCGGUUGAUAGUUUUAUUACAGUAACUGUUCACAUCAUUGAAGAUUCCGACGAGAUAAUGUUUAUUAAAAUCGAAGCACAGUCCUGAACGAAUUUCGUUGAAAAACGUCGCCACGUCCACCGUGCACCCAAGCUUGCUCUCUAUGAUUUUGCUUUUCUUCAGAAGAGCCACGUCGUGGGCUGUGUCGAUCAGAUUGUCCAUGAACACCACGUAGCUUGUGAACUUGUUUCCGUAGUCUUUGCAUUUUUGCUCUAAGGCCAGGAAGUUACGGUACUCCGAUGAGGUAUUUUCUUGAAUGGUUACUGCCGGGAUCUCCAUGUUCCCGUCUUUGAAGGAGAUAUCUAAGAAACACUUAUUGGUCUCUUUCUUCUUGAAGUGAACCCCGGCUUCUUUCAUUUGCGUGGCUGUGGGGAUCGUUCUGGCCAU